CAGCCGCCGCGGUAAUACGUAGGUGGCAGGCGUUGUCCGGAAUUAUUGGGCGUAAAGGGCUCGCAGGCGGUUUCUUAAGUCUGAUGUGAAAGCCCCCGGCUCAACCGGGGAGGGUCAUUGGAAACUGGGAAACUUGAGUGCAGAAGAGGAGAGUGGAAUUCCACGUGUAGCGGUGAAAUGCGUAGAGAUGUGGAGGAACACCAGUGGCGAAGGCGACUCUCUGGUCUGUAACUGACGCUGAGGAGCGAAAGCGUGGGGAGCGAACAGGAUUAGAUACCCGCGUAGUCCCUGUCUCUUAUAC
rnacentral:rRNA from 1 species